rnacentral:rRNA from 1 species
GACGAACGCUGGCGGCGUGCUUAACACAUGCAAGUCGAACGGAAAGGCCCUGCUUUUGUGGGGUGCUCGAGUGGCGAACGGGUGAGUAACACGUGAGUAACCUGCCCUUGACUUUGGGAUAACUUCAGGAAACUGGGGCUAAUACCGGAUAGGAGCUCCUGCUGCAUGGUGGGGGUUGGAAAGUUUCGGCGGUUGGGGAUGGACUCGCGGCUUAUCAGCUUGUUGGUGGGGUAGUGGCUUACCCAGGCUUUGACGGGUAGCCGGCCUGGGAGGGUGACCGGCCACAUUGGGACUGAGAUACGGCCCAGACUCCUACGGGAGGCAGCAGUGGGGAAUAUUGCACAAUGGGCGGAAGCCUGAUGCAGCAACGCCGCGUGCGGGAUGACGGCCUUCGGGUUGUAAACCGCUUUCGCCUGUGACGAAGCGUGAGUGACGGUAAUGGGUAAAGAAGCACCGGCUAACUACGUG